rnacentral:tRNA from 1 species
UCCGAAUUGGUGUAGUGGCUAACAUUUGACGCUCUCAAAGUUGAAAAACAUUGAACCGUCAAGCCCGGGGUUCGAUUCCCCGAUUCGGAG